rnacentral:rRNA from 1 species
UGUGUAUAAGUUAUAAAGUCUAGCCUGCCCACUGAUUGAUUUAAAGGGCCGCGGUAAUUUGACCGUGCGAAGGUAGCAUAGUCAGUAGUCUUUUAAUUGAAGGCUUGAAUGAAAGGUUGGACGAGGGAUGAGCUGUCUCCUUUAUGUAAUUUGAAUUUAACUUUUGAGUGAAAAGGCUCAAAUUAUUUAGUGGGACGAUAAGACCCUAUAAAACUUUAUAUAAGUUUAAUUUGGCUUACAAUUUGAGUGAAAAGUAGCUUUAUUAGGCUUAUAUUUCGUUGGGGAGAUGUAGAUAUAAUGUGUAACUGUCUAUUUAAUUUAAUAAUUAUAAUUAGUGUGUGAUCCUUCUUUGUGGAUUAAAAGUAUAAGUUACUUUAGGGAUAACAGCGUGAUUUUCUUUGAGAGUUCUUAUCGACAAGAGUAGUUGCGACCUCGAUGUUGAAUUAAAAUUUCAGUUAGGUGUAGCCGUCUAGCUGGUAGGUCUGUUCGACCUUUAAAAUUUUACAUGAUUUGAGUUCAAACCGGU